rnacentral:ncRNA from 1 species
UUGAGCCGUGUGAAGGGAGACUUUCAAGCACGGUUGUUAGGGGGGAGCGGCGGCGACGCCGCUCCCCUACCCGAC